GGGACAGCCCAGAAGCCGGAGAAGGGUCGCCUACGUGGCCAUUGUCAUCCAGCAGGUUAUUGGUCAGCUUCAGCUUGUCAAAAGACACGAUUUGCUUCAUCCACUGCGCGCCCUUAGCCGGCACAAAGUCCAUGAGCAGCAUGUAGUCAGCCAUGGGAUCCAUUCCAAAGAGCUUCACUUGGAAGACAACCUUGCCCCAGGAAUUCCUGGACACAGCCUCAACCAGCAGCAGGGUACCUCAGAUCCAGAUCCUGGGGCCUCUCUGCCCUUCUCAGAGCCUCCCCUGCUUGGUCCAACAAAGCGAAGACUUCCCGGCUCCAACAAAGUGAAACCGAACACUGCAGUGAUUCCAAAAGUCUCUACUGCCAGUGUGGUCCAGCCCCCCAGGAACACCGGCACCCCAGUACUCCAGUCUCCAACUCUCAAGACCCGGCCAGA